rnacentral:rRNA from 1 species
CCCCUGCGUCUAUUACUAAUGCAGUCUGAGCGGUAAGGCUCCUUCGGGAGUACACGAGCGGCGAACGGGUGAGUAACACGUGAGCAAUCUGCCCUUCUCAUCGGAAUAACCAUUGGAAACGAUGGCUAAUGCCGAAUAUGACCUCGGAACACAUGUUCUGAGGUGGAAAGCUCCGGCGGAGAAGGAUGAGCUCGCGGCCUAUCAGCUUGUUGGUGAGGUAAUGGCUCACCAAGGCAUUGACGGGUAGCCGGCCUGAGAGGGUGACCGGCCACACUGGGACUGAGACACGGCCCAGACUCCUACGGGAGGCAGCAGUGGGGAAUAUUGGACAAUGGGCGAAAGCCUGAUCCAGCAACGCCGCGUGAGGGAUGACGGCCUUCGGGUUGUAAACCUCUUUCAGCAGGGACGAAGCGAAAGUGACGGUACCUGCAGAAGAAGGACCGGCCAACUACGUGCCAGCAGCCGCGGUAAUACGUAGGGUCCGAGCGUUGUCCGGAAUUAUUGGGCGUAAAGGGCUCGUAGGCGGUUUGUCACGUCGGGAGUGAAAACUCAGGGCUCAACCCUGAGCGUGCUUCCGAUACGGGCAGACUAGAGGUAUGCAGGGGAGAACGGAAUUCCUGGUGUAGCGGUGGAAUGCGCAGAUAUCAGGAGGAACACCGGUGGCGAAGGCGGGUUCUCUGGGCAUUACCUGACGCUGAGGAGCGGAAAGCAUGGGGAGCGAACCAGGAUUAGAUACCCUGGUAGUCCAUGCCGUAAACGGUUGGGCGCUAAGUGUGGGGACCUUCCCACAGGUCUCCGUGCCGCAGGUUACGCCAUUAAGCGCCCGCUGGGGAGUAAC